UUCAUUGACUUUGUAGUAUUUCGACGAAUAUGGGUAUCAUGGAACCUCAUUUGAGCAGACAUAUCGAUAUUACCCUUCAUCCUUUAUCGAUAAGCCACAACUUGAGAGUGGGGAUAAAACAUCUCUACAUAUAGAUUAUCCGAUGUUGUUUGAGCUUCGGAAUGACCCUGCAGAGAGGGACUCUCACUGUGGGGUGUUAGAGUUCGUAGCAGAGGAAGGCACGAUCUAUAUGCCUUAUUGGAUGAUGGAAAAUAUGCUAUUACAAGAGGGAGACUUUGUGCGUGUGAAGAAUGUGACUCUUCUAAAGGGGAAAUAUGUUAAAUUGCAACCCCAUACUAAGGGAUUUUUGGACAUUUCAAACCCAAAA